rnacentral:rRNA from 1 species
UACGAAGGGGGCUAGCGUUGCUCGGAAUUACUGGGCGUAAAGCGUGCGCAGGCGGUUUGUUAAGACAGAUGUGAAAUCCCCGGGCUUAACCUGGGAACUGCAUUUGUGACUGGCAAGCUAGAGUAUGGCAGAGGGGGGUAGAAUUCCACGUGUAGCAGUGAAAUGCGUAGAGAUGUGGAGGAAUACCAAUGGCGAAGGCAGCCCCCUGGGCCAAUACUGACGCUCAUGCACGAAAGCGUGGGGAGCAAACAGG